AGAGUUUGAUCCUGGCUCAGGAUGAACGCUAGCGACAGGCCUAACACAUGCAAGUCGAGGGGCAGCGAAGAGGUAGCAAUACCUUUGUCGGCGACCGGCGCACGGGUGAGUAACACGUAUGCAAUCCACCUGUAACAGGGGGAUAACCCGGAGAAAUCCGGACUAAUACCCCAUAAUAUGGGCUCUCCGCAUGGAGAGCCCAUUAAAGAGAGCAAUUUUGGUUACAGACGAGCAUGCGCUCCAUUAGCCAGUUGGCGGGGUAACGGCCCACCAAAGCGACGAUGGAUAGGGGUUCUGAGAGGAAGGUCCCCCACAUUGGAACUGAGACACGGUCCAAACUCCUACGGGAGGCAGCAGUGAGGAAUAUUGGUCAAUGGUCGGCAGACUGAACCAGCCAAGUCGCGUGAGGGAAGACGGCCCUACGGGUUGUAAACCUCUUUUGUCGGAGAGUAAAGUACGCUACGUGUAGUGUAUUGCAAGUAUCCGAAGAAAAAGCAUCGGCUAACUCCGUGCCAGCAGCCGCGGUAAUACGGAGGAUGCAAGCGUUAUCCGGAUUUAUUGGGUUUAAAGGGUGCGUAGGCGGCACGCCAAGUCAGCGGUGAAAUUUCCGGGCUCAACCCGGACUGUGCCGUUGAAACUGGCGAGCUAGAGUACACAAGAGGCAGGCGGAAUGCGUGGUGUAGCGGUGAAAUGCAUAGAUAUCACGCAGAACCCCGAUUGCGAAGGCAGCCUGCUAGGGUGAAACAGACGCUGAGGCACGAAAGCGUGGGUAUCGAACAGGAUUAGAUACCCUGGUAGUCCACGCAGUAAACGAUGAAUACUAACUGUUUGCGAUACAAUGUAAGCGGUACAGCGAAAGCGUUAAGUAUUCCACCUGGGGAGUACGCCGGCAACGGUGAAACUCAA
rnacentral:rRNA from 1 species